GACGAACGCUGGCGGCGUGCUUAACACAUGCAAGUCGAACGGAAAGGCCCUGCUUUUGUGGGGUGCUCGAGUGGCGAACGGGUGAGUAACACGUGAGUAACCUGCCCUUGACUUUGGGAUAACUUCAGGAAACUGGGGCUAAUACCGGAUAGGAGCUCCUGCUGCAUGGUGGGGGUUGGAAAGUUUCGGCGGUUGGGGAUGGACUCGCGGCUUAUCAGCUUGUUGGUGGGGUAGUGGCUUACCAAGGCUUUGACGGGUAGCCGGCCUGAGAGGGUGACCGGCCACAUGGGGACUGAGAUACGGACCAGAAUCCUACGGGAGGCAGCAGUGGGGAAUAUGGCACAAUGGGCGGAAGCCUGAUGCAGCAACGCCGCGUGCGGGAUGACGGCCUUCGGGUUGUAAACCGCUUUCGCCUGUGACGAAGCGUGAGUGACGGUAAUGGGUAAAGAAGCACCGGCUAACUACGUG
rnacentral:rRNA from 1 species